GCGGACUUAGUUCAACGGUAGAAUACGCAGCUCACCUGCUACGAGACGCACGUUCGACUCGUGCAGUCCGCUCCA
rnacentral:tRNA from 1 species